rnacentral:lncRNA from 1 species
GGAAAGUCCCGUAAAUUAUAGUUUUCUUAAAAUAUGGUAUAUCCCUUUGCUUAAUCUAGUCAUUGGUGGGAUAAUUAACAGUGCACAAGGUAAUUUUCUUAACUGGGUGAAUUUAUGGUAACCCUAGGACUUUUGGAUUUCCUAGAAAUCUGGAAGUGACCAGCCUGGGAGAAGUGUACCCUGGGGAUCUUUGUACCCUUGGGGAAUGAAAGGCCUAGGAAAGCAUGCAGAACUUCAGAUUUAAAUUAUAUUCCCUUGUCUUUCCUUUUGUCUCCUAUUUUUUUAUUCCUUCUAUUCUACCUCAUUUGCAUACCUGCUAUGAGCUGGGCACUGGCAAUUAGUUCCUGCCCUCCAGUAAGUACAGUAGCAGGGAGGACAGACAUGCAAAUCAAAACUUUCACUCUGUAUGGCAAGUGCUGUCUUUGAGUAGGCAAAAAGUACAAUGACAAUCCCAAACAAGGUGACAGUUUCUUCUGCUAAGGGCACUCCACUAGAAAGUUGAUCUAAUCCAUUGUUUGCUAGCUCUGUGGACUUGAGCAAGCCAUUUCAUCUCUUUGGGCCUUAAUUUCUUCAUCUGCAAAAUGGGGGUUAUGACAAUAGUAUUUUCCUCAUAUGAUCACUGUGGGGAUAAUAGAAAUAAUGCAUAUAAGACAUUUGGCACAGUGUCUUGCACAAACCAAGCAAUAACUCAAAAAGUUGUAACUGAUCCUUUAUACUAGCUGGGGUCUUCUAAUCCCUUGAGACUUUGGGAUGAGCCCAAAUACCCAGUCCAAAACCUCUUUCCAAGAUUACUACAAAUUCCUGGCAGGCAUUAUUUCUCCAGGUCCAGCUCCUGCUUCAGCCUGCACCAUCUUCAAUCAUCACUACACCAAAACAGAUGGCCCUAUAGCUAUCUUCACAAACUGCAGUCAGGACAGCCUCUCCAAGCAUAAAAGACUUUUCUGGAGACUUCAAAGGAUGGGAGACAGAGGAGAUCAUAUCCUAGCUAAUCUCAG